rnacentral:tRNA from 1 species
GCGGGUGUAGCUCAGCUGGUAGAGCGCGACCUUGCCAAGGUCGAGGUCGACGGUUCGAACCCGUUCACCCGCUCCA